GACGAACGCUGGCGGCGUGCUUAACACAUGCAAGUCGAACGGAAAGGCCCUGCUUUUGUGGGGUGCUCGAGUGGCGAACGGGUGAGUAACACGUGAGUAACCUGCCCUUGACUUUGGGAUAACUUCAGGAAACUGGGGCUAAUACCGGAUAGGAGCUCCUGCUGCAUGGUGGUGGUUGGAAAGUUUCGGCGGUUGGGGAUGGACGCGCGGCUUAUCAGCUUGGUGGUGGGGUAGGGGCUUACGAAGGCUUUGACGGGUAGCCGGCCUGAGAGGGUGACCGGCCACAGUGGGACUGAGAGACGGCCCAGACUCCGACGGGCAGCAGCAGUGGGGAAUAUUGCACGAUGGGCGGAAGCCUGAUGCAGCAACGCCGCGUGCGUGAUGACGGCCUUCGGGUUGUAAACCGCUUUCGCCUGUGACGAAGCGUGAGUGACGGUAAUGGGUAAAGAAGCACCGGCUAACUACGUG
rnacentral:rRNA from 1 species